CGGUGUCGAACUUUGCCGUACGGAGCUGGCGAGACUUGCCGGAAGAAUGUACGGUGGAAACGUAAAAAAAAAAAUAAUACCAACUUUGAACCCCUUCAAUUCCCAGAAGGUCCUAACCCCCAAAAAACCAUUUCAGUGGGUCCUGCUCUGAUUCAUUACCUUUCAUUUGAGCUAUGUCCGGUGUCGAACUUUGCCGUACGGAGCUAACGAGACUUGCCGGAAGAAUGUACGGUGGAAACGUAAAAAAAAAAUAAUACCAACUUUGAACCCCUUCAAUUUCCAGAAGGUCCUAACCCCCAAAAAAUCAUUUCAGUGGGUCCUGCUCUGAUUCAUUACCUUUCAUUUGAGCUAUGUCCGGUGUCGAACUUUGCCGUACGGAGCUGGCGAGACUUGCCGAAAGAAUGUACUGUGGAAACGUAAAAAAAAAAAUAAUACCAACUUUGAACCCCUUCAAUUCCCAGAAGGUCCUAACCCCCAAAAAAUCAUUUCAGUGGGUCCUGCUCUGAUUCAUUACCUUUCAUUUGAGCUAUGUCCGGUGUCGAACUUUGCCGUACGGAGCUGGCGAGACUUGCCGGAAGAAUGUACGGUGGAAACGUAAAAAAAAAAAUAAUACCAACUUUGAACCCCUUCAAUUCCCAGAAGGUCCUAACCCCCAAAAAAUCAUUUCAGUGGAUCCUGCUCUGAUUCAUUACCUUUCAUUUGAGCUAUGUCCGGUGACGAGCUUUGCCGUACGGAGCUGGCGAGACUUGCCGAAAGAAUGUACGGUGGAAACGUAAAAAAAAAAAUAAUACCAACUUUGAACCCCUUCAAUUCCCAGAAGGUCCUAACCCCCAAAAAACCAUUUCAGUGGGUCCUGCUCUGAUUCAUUACCUUUCAUUUGAGCUAUGUCCGGUGUCGAACUUUGCCGUACGGAGCUAACGAGACUUGCCGGAAGAAUGUACGGUGGAAACGUAAAAAAAAAAUAAUACCAACUUUGAACCCCUUCAAUUUCCAGAAGGUCCUAACCCCCAAAAAAUCAUUUCAGUGGGUCCUGCUCUGAUUCAUUACCUUUCAUUUGAGCUAUGUCCGGUGUCGAACUUUGCCGUACGGAGCUGGCGAGACUUGCCGAAAGAAUGUACUGUGGAAACGUAAAAAAAAAAAUAAUACCAACUUUGAACCCCUUCAAUUCCCAGAAGGUCCUAACCCCCAAAAAAUCAUUUCAGUGGGUCCUGCUCUGAUUCAUUACCUUUCAUUUGAGCUAUGUCCGGUGUCGAACUUUGCCGUACGGAGCUGGCGAGACUUGCCGGAAGAAUGUACGGUGGAAACGUAAAAAAAAAAAUAAUACCAACUUUGAACCCCUUCAAUUCCCAGAAGGUCCUAACCCCCAAAAAAUCAUUUCAGUGGAUCCUGCUCUGAUUCAUUACCUUUCAUUUGAGCUAUGUCCGGUGACGAACUUUGCCGUACGGAGCUGGCGAGACUUGCCGAAAGAAUGUACGGUGGAAACGUAAAAAAAAAAAUAAUACCAACUUUGAACCCCUUCAAUUCCCAGAAGGUCCUAACCCCCAAAAAAUCAUUUCAGUGGGUCCUGCUCUGAUUCAUUACCUUUCAUUUGAGCUAUGUCCGGUGACGAACUUUGCCGUACGGAGCUGGCGAGACUUGCCGAAAGAAUGUACGGUGGAAACGUAAAAAAAAAAAUAAUACCAACUUUGAACCCCUUCAAUUCCCAGAAGGUCCUAACCCCCAAAAAACCAUUUCAGUGGGUCCUGCUCUGAUUCAUUACCUUUCAUUUGAGCUAUGUCCGGUGUCGAACUUUGCCGUACGGAGCUGGCGAGGCUUGCCGGAAGAAUGUACGGUGGAAACGUAAAAAAAAAAAUAAUACCAACUUUGAACCCCUUCAAUUCCCAGAAGGUCCUAACCCCCAAAAAAUCAUUUCAGUGGGUCCUGCUCUGAUUCAUUACCUUUCAUUUGAGCUAUGUCCGGUGACGAACUUUGCCGUACGGAGCUGGCGAGACUUGCCGAAAGAAUGUACGGUGGAAACGUAAAAAAAAAAAAUAAUACCAACUUUGAACCCCUUCAAUUCCCAGAAGGUCCUAACCCCCAAAAAAUCAUUUCAGUGGGUCCUUCUCUGAUUCAUUACCUUUCAUUUGAGCUAUGUCCGGUGUCGAACUUUGCCGUACGGAGCUGGCGAGACUUGCCGAAAAAAUGUACGGUGGAAACGUAAAAAAAAAAAAAAAUACCAACUUUGAACCCCUUCAAUUCCCAGAAGGUCCUAACCCCCAAAAAAUCAUUUCAGUGGGUCCUGCUCUGAUUCAUUACCUUUCAUUUGAGCUAUGUCCGGUGUCGAACUUUGCCGUACUGAGCUGGUGAGACUUGCAGAAAGAAUGUACGGUGGAAACGUAAAAAAAAAAAUAAUACCAACUUUGAACCCCUUCAAUUCCCAGAAGGUCCUAACCUCCAAAAAAUCAUUUCAGUGGGUCCUGCUCUGAUUCAUUACCUUUCAUUUGAGCUAUGUCCGGUGUCGAACUUUGCCGUACGGAGCUGGCGAGACUUGCCGGAAGAAUGUACGGUGGAAACGUAAAAAAAAAAAUAAUACCAACUUUGAACCCCUUCAAUUCCCAGAAGGUCCUAACCCCCAAAAAAUCAUUUCAGUGGGUCCUGCUCUGAUUCAUUACCUUUCAUUUGAGCUAUGUCCGGUGACGAACUUUGCCGUACGGAGCUGGCGAGACUUGCCGAAAGAAUGUACGGUGGAAACGUAAAAAAAAAAAUAAUACCAACUUUGAACCCCUUCAAUUCCCAGAAGGUCCUAACCCCCAAAAAACCAUUUCAGUGGGUCCUGCUCUGAUUCAUUACCUUUCAUUUGAGCUAUGUCCGGUGUCGAACUUUGCCGUACGGAGCUGGCGAGACUUGCCGGAAGAAUGUACGGUGGAAACGUAAAAAAAAAAAAUAAUACCAACUUUGAACCCCUUCAAUUCCCAGAAGGUCCUAACCCCCAAAAAAUCAUUUCAGUGGGUCCUGCUCUGAUUCAUUACCUUUCAUUUGAGCUAUGUCCGGUGUCAAACUUUGCCGUACGGAGCUGGCGAGA